rnacentral:rRNA from 1 species
CGGGCCUCGCGCUAUAGGGUUGGCCGAUGGCUGAUUAGCUAGUUGGUGGGGUAAAGGCCUACCAAGGCGACGAUCAGUAGCUGGUCUGAGAGGACGACCAGCCACACUGGGACUGAGACACGGCCCAGACUCCUACGGGAGGCAGCAGUGGGGAAUUUUGGACAAUGGGCGAAAGCCUGAUCCAGCAAUGCCGCGUGUGUGAAGAAGGCCUUCGGGUUGUAAAGCACUUUUGUCCGGAAAGAAAUCCUUGGUUCUAAUAUAGCCGGGGGAUGACGGUACCGGAAGAAUAAGCACCGGCUAACUACGUGCCAGCAGCCGCGGUAAUACGUAGGGUGCGAGCGUUAAUCGGAAUUACUGGGCGUAAAGCGUGCGCAGGCGGUUUGCUAAGACCGAUGUGAAAUCCCCGGGCUCAACCUGGGAACUGCAUUGGUGACUGGCA